CUCCAUCAGACGUCCACAUCUCUACGCGAUUUGAAAUAGUUGACACCAGAAAUUCAUCAAUGGAAGAUGGACGCCGAUUGCGUUCCGGCAGAACGUUACGUCUCAUCGGGUCGACAAAGCAAAUCUCGUGUGAAGUUCUUUUGCUGAUCGGCUUGAAGGUGAAGAAAAUGCUUGGCAAAAAUCCUUUAACUCACAGCUGGGUGAGAAAUCAAAUUGGAGGAGCGAAAUGAAGAGUUUUGGGAGAUGUAGUUGAGGCACGGUGACAUGCUGGGGAGGACAUUGUGCAGUCCGUCCCCACGCCUAACAAAUGGGUGGUGCCUAAAAUCACGGCGCAGCCCAUUGAGAUGUGUUGGUGUGUCAAUUUUGGAUGAUUUCUUAUAUUGGACAAGUUUGUGUUUUUUCCUUUUUUUUGUGAUGGAGAUUUUGUAUUGGUUAUGAGAUUUAUAUAGUGAGGAUUAUGUGGUUUACAACUUUCACGUACUGUGGGAAUAG